UACAUAGGGGGCGAGCGUUAUCCGGAAUUAUUGGGCGUAAAGGGUGAGUAGGCGGCUAAAUAAGUUUGUGGUAUAAGCACAGUGCUCAACGCUGUGAGGCUACAAAAACUGUUUAGCUAGAGUCAGAUAGAGGCAAGUGGAAUUCCAUGUGUAGCGGUAAAAUGCGUAAAUAUAUGGAGGAACACCAGUGGCGAAGGCGGCUUGCUGGGUCUGUACUGACGCUGAGGCACGAAAGCGUGGGGAGCAAACAGG
rnacentral:rRNA from 1 species